rnacentral:rRNA from 1 species
CUUAAAGGAAUUGACGGGGCCCGCACAAGCGGAGGAACAUGUGGUUUAAUUCGAUGCAACGCGAAGAACCUUACCUACCCUUGACAUGUCCGGAACUUGCCAGAGAUGGCUUGGUGCCCGAAAGGGAAUCGGAACACAGGUGCUGCAUGGCUGUCGUCAGCUCGUGUCGUGAGAUGUUGGGUUAAGUCCCGCAACGAGCGCAACCCUUAUCAUUAGUUGCUACGCAAGGGCACUCUAAUGAGACUGCCGGUGACAAACCGGAGGAAGGUGGGGAUGACGUCAAGUCCUCAUGGCCCUUAUGGGUAGGGCUUCACACGUCAUACAAUGGUCGGUACAGAGGGUUGCCAAGCCGCGAGGCGGAGCCAAUCCCACAAAGCCGAUCGUAGUCCGGAUUGUUCUCUGCAACUUGAGAGCAUGAAGUCGGAAUCGCUAGUAAUCGCAGGUCAGCAUACUGCGGUGAAUACGUUCCCGGGUCUU